rnacentral:rRNA from 1 species
GACGAACGCUGGCGGCGUGCUUAACACAUGCAAGUCGAACGGAAAGGCCCUGCUUGCUGGGUCCUCGAGUUGCCAACGGGUGAGUAACACGUGAGUGCUCUGCCCUGCACUUCUUGAUAAGCUUUGGAAACUGGGUCUAAUACCUGAUACCAGCCAUCAUUUGUGUGGUGGUUGGAAAGUUUUUUCGGUGUUGGAUGAGGUCGCGGCCUAUCAGCUUGUUGGUGGGGUAAUGGCGUACCGAGGCGGCGACGGGUAGCCGGCCAGAGAGAGUGUACGGCCACACUGAGACUGAGAUAAGGCCGAGACGCCGACGGGAGGAAGAAGGGGGGAAGAUUGAACAAGGGGCGCAAGCCUGAUGCAGCGACGCCGCGUGGGGGAAGAAGGCCUUGGGGUUGUAAAAAAGUUGCGCUAGGGAAGAAGCCUGUUGUGACGGUACCUAGAUAAGAAGCACCGGCUAACUACGUG